UACGUAGGGCGCAAGCGUUGUCCGGAAUUAUUGGGCGUAAAGAGCUCGUAGGCGGCCUGUUGCGUCCGCUGUGAAAUCCCAGGGCUUAACCCUGGGUCUGCAGUGGAUACGGGCAGGCUGGAGGCAGGCAGGGGAGAACGGAAUUCCCGGUGUAGCGGUGAAAUGCGCAGAUAUCAGGAGGAACACCGGUGGCGAAGGCGGGUCUCUGGGCAGUAACUGACGCUGAGGAGCGAAAGCGUGGGGAGCGAACAGG
rnacentral:rRNA from 1 species